AUGGAGUUUGCUGUGGCGGCAUUUAGCGCGGUAGCUGGGGUCGCCGUGUUGAAGCUAAACAGCGUGAAGGGGAGGCCGAACACCGAUGCUAGGAGCAUCAGUGCGGAUCUCAACUCGAUCAAAGCUACCAUGCUAGAUCAUGCCGACCAUGUACGGCCUAUGAGUUUCUUGCGGGCAGAAUAUUUUGCACAACUGAGGGCCUUGGCAUGUGACAUCGAAGACUGUAUAGACUGCUUCAACGCCAAGAUGACGACCGAUGCUGAUUUUGCAGACAAAAUUGCCCGACUCAAGGAGAGCUCAAAGGGAACGACUCACCGGAUACAUACGUUUGGCUUUAUUCCUGUACAAGGGGCUGCAGCACAAGAGCCUGCUGCUGCUGUCCCGGCAGAGAUUGAGAAUCUUCAGUGUUUGAUGAGGGGUAAACAUGAUGGUGAUUACCUCAACUGCUUGCUAUAUUUCUGCUUGUUCCCACCCAAUUAUCAUGUCAGGACUAAGCCCCUCAUGAGGAGAUGGACGGCGGAAGGGCUAGUAGGAAGAGAACAAUCCGCAAUCAGCAAUUUGGACAAGUUCAUGGAGUCCAGUAUCAUCAGGUCCACCCAGAAAAGCAGCAAUGGGAAGGUGAAGAGAUGCCAGCCUACUGGCAACACGAUUCGUCAGUACAUCUCCCAACGGUCCAUGUCCGAGAAUUUCAUACUGUUAUGUCACGGUGCGUCUGCCGAAAUGCCGGAGGGACACCCUCGCAGGCUAUCUGUGCAUCCUUGUGCAAAUGUUCCACUGAAUUUGCCUGAGAGUUUAUCUGAUGUCCGGACGUUGGCGGUAUUCUCUACUGCUGCGGGGGAUCUCGAUGAAGAUGUUCUACGUUUUUCCAAUUAUAAAGUGCUGCGAGUGCUGGAUCUAAAAGAAUGUGCUCACCUGAGUGAUGGCCAUAUUCAGGCUAUCUACAACCAGGAGCUGAUGAAAUACCUGAGCAUCAAAUCAGGCAUCAUUGAUCGGGUUCCAAGGGAAAUCGGGAAGCUGAAUCAGCUAGAGACACUCGACCUGAGUGGAAGCUCAAAUUGUGACGAUGCUGAUGGAAUAGUGACGGUGUACAAAGAAGUCCUCCUGCUUCCCAAACUGAAGCACCUCCUUGGCAAGUUCCAGCUUUCUAGAAGGGAUUUCUUUGUUUGGAGAUCAGAUGUAGAGAGGUUUCUGAGAGCUAAUAAGAGUGUGCUGGAGACGCUGUCAGGAUUUGUCAUCGGUGGGAGAAAUGGAUUUCAACAGCUGCUGAGUCUUAUGCGGCAGUUGCGGAAGGUGAAGAUAUGGUGCAAAUCCGACGCAAGCCAAGAAAACCUGGGAGUUCUUUCAAAGGCCAUUAGGAAAUCAUCGGUGAUGGCGCCGGAGCGCCUCAUCUUAAGCGGUCCCUGUCGAUCGACUUCGGAGCAUGCCCGAGAGAGUUCGUGGAUGAAAUAG
rnacentral:rRNA from 1 species